GGAACUUUCAGCCCUCCCCACUGACCUCCGGGAAGGGGAAGCGGGGGCUGCAGAUUAAGCUCUAUCGAAACUCUUGAGCAACAAGAUUUGAUGAGCUUGGGGGUUGGUGAAUGCAUCCACGUGCUGGGGGGGCUGCACACCUCAGUUCCACCUCUGAAACUCCUGUGCUUGGGAUCCUUCCAGACCUUGCCCUAUGUACCCUUUCAUCUGGUUAUUCAUCCUAUUCAACUUCCCCUCUUGCUCAAGCUCGACCUCGAGGACUACCUUCUGCACUGCAGCUUACACUUCCCACUGGUUAAGAUUCGGGGUCUCCCCGUGACUAUCCUGCCUCAGCAGGACUCAGAUUACUGGAGAAAUAUAUCACAUACUGUGGAAAAUGCAGAAACAAAAAUUAAAGAAAAGUACAAGAACAUACAAGAGAAAGCAAAAACACUUGUAAUCUGAUUACCUAGAGAUAAACACUGUUAAUGUUUUUUGAAUAUCCUUCCAGUCUUUUUUCCACGUACAUGAGAUUUUAUGACAAAAAUUCAUUUUUGUAUUUAGCAACUUCCCACCCAGUGCUGAUCCAAGAAGAGACUUUUUUAUUCAGAAAAUUAUUUGCUAAGUUCCCUGAGGGGUAUACCGGAGGAAAAAAAUAUAUUGUUGGUUUUUGGUUUACUACCAAAUUUUCAUUUUCUGAGUGGCCAUUUAACGAAGGACAAGAGCCGACUUGCUCAGGCAGUGAGCAGACUUGAGGAGUUGGCAAUGGUGGACGGGAAGCAUGUGGCAGAGAGGAGUGACAGGUGGGGUCACACUGCUGACAAAGGAAGAGAAUUUUCGAGGAAAGAACAGAUGUCCAUGGAGGAAUUUGAUUACAUUUCUGUCUCCAUACAAGAUCUUCACUAAAACCUGUGUUGCUCACCAGUGGAUGGUGGAGUAAAUUUGCUAUUGGGAACAACGUGAAUGUACCAGCAGUGGAAUAUGGUGGGAGGAGAGCAAGAGCAAAGGCUUGCCAUAGGGUUGCACCAGAAAGAGACAUAGCCUGUAUACUUAGAGAUGUGGUCGGGCCUUAAGGAAACUAUGGCUGAUCCUACACACACAACUCUCUUAGCAUUUUCCUAUGUAAUUUAAUAAUCUCCUAAAGUGUUCUACCUGGGCCAAGACUAGUUAUAAAAAUCUACUUCUUCCUGGGCUCCUUUGCAGACAGAUGUGGCCAUGUGACUGAGUUUUAGUCAAAGGAGACUGGAAAUGGUUUCUACCAUUGCUGGGUCCAGGCUUUUGAGAAGCAAGGUUUCCCUCCUUAUCCUCCUUCCCCUUCUGCCAGCUUGUUGAGGGUGAUGACAAAGCCAUAGCAGAUGGGGAAGCCAAAAGAUAGAAGGAGCCUGGGUUCCUGAAAAACUAGUGGAACCAUGUGGAAGAGAGUCAACCACUGACCAGGAACACUUGCUUCAGAUUGUUAUGCCAGGGAAGAGUCCAUUUCUAU
rnacentral:lncRNA from 1 species